rnacentral:rRNA from 1 species
AUUGAACGCUGGCGGCAGGCCUAACACAUGCAAGUCGAGCGGAGCGGCGGACGGGUGAGUAAUACCUAGGAAUUGGCCUGGUAGUGGGGGAUAAAGUUCGGAAACGGACGCUAAUACCGCAGAAUAUCAGAUGAGCAUAGGUCGGAUUAGCUAGUUGGUGAGUUAAUGGCUCACCAAGGCGACGACCCGUAACUGGUCUGAGAGGAUGAUCAGUCAAACGGGAACUGAGACACGGUCCAGACUCCUACGGGAGGCAGCAGUGGGGAAUAUUGGACAAGGGGCGAAAGCCUGAUCCAGCCAUGCCGCGUGUGUGAAGAAGGUCUUCGGAUUGUAAAGCACUUUAAGUUGGGAGGCGUUACCGACAGAAUAAGCACCGGCUAACUCUGUGCCAGCAGCCGCGGUAAUUC